rnacentral:rRNA from 1 species
UACAGAGGGUGCGAGCGUUAAUCGGAAUUACUGGGCGUAAAGGGCGCGUAGGCGGCCGCCUAAGUCAGACGUGAAAUCCCCAAGCUUAACUUGGGAACUGCGUCUGAUACUGGGUGGCUUGAGUUCGGGAGAGGAAUGUGGAAUUCCAGGUGUAGCGGUGAAAUGCGUAGAUAUCUGGAGGAACACCGGUGGCGAAGGCGGCAUUCUGGACCGAAACUGACGCUGAGGCGCGAAAGCCAGGGGAGCAAACGGG